GAGUUUGAUCGUGGCUCAGAUUGAACGCUGGCGGCAGGCCUAACACAUGCAAGUCGAGCGGAUGAAGGGAGCUUGCUCCUGGAUUCAGCGGCGGACGGGUGAGUAAUGCCUAGGAAUCUGCCUGGUAGUGGGGGAUAACGUCCGGAAACGGGCGCUAAUACCGCAUACGUCCUGAGGGAGAAAGUGGGGGAUCUUCGGACCUCACGCUAUCAGAUGAGCCUAGGUCGGAUUAGCUAGUUGGUGGGGUAAAGGCCUACCAAGGCGACGAUCCGUAACUGGUCUGAGAGGAUGAUCAGUCACACUGGAACUGAGACACGGUCCAGACUCCUACGGGAGGCAGCAGUGGGGAAUAUUGGACAAUGGGCGAAAGCCUGAUCCAGCCAUGCCGCGUGUGUGAAGAAGGUCUUCGGAUUGUAAAGCACUUUAAGUUGGAGGAAGGGCAGUAAGUUAAUACCUUGCUGUUUUGACGUUACCAACAGAAUAAGCACCGGCUAACUUCGUGCCAGCAGCCG
rnacentral:rRNA from 1 species